rfam:Ovis aries breed Texel chromosome 4, whole genome shotgun sequence.
AAAUGAUCUGGUUGUGACAUCUGUCACCCCAUUGAUCGCCAGGGUUGAUUCGGCUGAUCUGGCUGGCUAGUCGGGUGUCCCCUUCCCCCCUCACCGCUCCAUGUGCGUCCCUCCCUAAGCUGCACGCUUGGUCGAAGAGGACGACCAUCCCCGAUAGAGGAGGACCGGUCUUCUGUCAAGGGUAUACGAGUAGCUGCGCUCCCCUGCUAGAACCUCCAAACAAGCUCUCAAGGUCCUUUAGUAGUUUUUAAAACAAUAGAAGUGACUUAAUGGUCCUGUGAUUGAAACUGUUCUAAGCACAUAUUUCUAAAAAUGUAUCUUUAAAAUGUUUUUCUCC